rnacentral:rRNA from 1 species
AGCGAACGCUGGCGGCAGGCCUAACACAUGCGAGUCGAACGAACCUUUCGGGGUUAGUGGCGGACGGGUGAGUAACACGUGGGAACGUGCCUUUAGGUUCGGAAUAACUCAGGGAAACUUGUGCUAAUACCGAAUGUGCCCUUCGGGGGAAAGAUUAAUCGCCUUUAGAGCGGCCCGCGUCUGAUUAGCUAGUUGGUUGAGGUAAUGGCUCACCAAGGCGACGAUCAGUAGCUGGUCUGAGAGGAUGAUCAGCCACAUUGGGACUGAGACACGGCCCAAACUCCUACGGGAGGCAGCGGUGGGGAAUCUUGCGCAAUGGGCGAAAGCCUGACGCAGCCAUGCCGCGUGAAUGAUGAAGGUCUUAGGAUUGUAAAAUUCUUUCACCGGGGACGAUAAUGACGGUACCCGGAGAAGAAGCCCCGGCUAACUUCGUG